rnacentral:rRNA from 1 species
UACGUAGGGUGCAAGCGUUAAUCGGAAUUACUGGGCGUAAAGCGUGCGCAGGCGGCUUUGCAAGACAGAUGUGAAAUCCCCGGGCUUAACCUGGGAACUGCAUUUGUGACUGCAUGGCUGGAGUGCGGCAGAGGGGGAUGGAAUUCCGCGUGUAGCAGUGAAAUGCGUAGAUAUGCGGAGGAACACCGAUGGCGAAGGCAAUCCCCUGGGCCUGCACUGACGCUCAUGCACGAAAGCUGGGGAGCAACAGG